rnacentral:lncRNA from 1 species
UGUUUCUGACACGUAUUUCUCUGAAGAUAACAGGAGGACUAAUGGGUUCCUUUCAGCUGAUGUUGCAGGUUUUUUUUCUUUGCAAUUUAGGGUGAGAUUUCUGAAAGCCUUUUGUGUCAGUUGGAAGCCCAGCGAUGUUUUCGAGAAUGUCUAAGCAGGUUCAGUGCUUUUUGGCAAAGGACAGAGGUUUUCUUCAGUGGCAGCUAACUUUUGUGCAGGGGAGGAAGUUACUCUGGAGAUGCUGCUGGAUCUGCUGAAAGAGGUAACAAAAUUCGAACUUUGACAAGGCAGAUGGAAAUCUGGCAUUUGGUAAAGGAUUUUAGAUACCUUUAGCUAGAACUGAUUUCAAGGUGUGAAUUAACAAGGAUGUCAGUCAGCCCCAACUGUGUACGGUCCAAAGACCUUUGUGGGUUUUCCUGUCCUGUUUAAGAUUUGUCACAUAUAUAAACUAGACAAAUUAGCCAAAUACUGGCAGUAGUGCCUACCAAAAAUUGUAUUAAUACAGUAAAGGUACAGGUGAAAACGUGCUGCCUGGUCCUUCAUGUUCAGCAGUCAUAGUAGGAACAGGUAGCAGUCACUGAUGGUACAUUUAUCCCAUUCUUCUUUUCUGCUGGAUGUUACUUCUGCUUAGUUACAACCCGCAACCAAAGUAUGUCUCUUCACACUUCCCUGGGUUCAUGGAAGAGUAAUGCUACAACAGAAAAUGCAUUAGGGGAAACACUGAAAUCCACAGCCAUAGUCUCACUCUGUUCUCUUACCGUUCCCUGAGUUGCCACCUGUUGCCUCUAAAAGUGAGGUAACUCCCAAACAAAAACAAUGGCAGGUUAAGCUAGCAAGACAGCUGUUGAAGUUGGGUGAUCUGAAGAAUUCUUUGAAUGCAGGGUGAUUAUAUAAUAUAUUCCAUGUUUAUGUAAGUGUGUGGUAGCAGUUAUAACUACCUCUUUAGUGCAUCUCAUUUAUGAUAUUCUGUAAUUCUUCCAUCUGCAGUUAGUUAUAUAUAAUCAUAUCUGAUCCUCACAAUGUAUCUGUGAGCUAAGGGAGUGCCAUUCCUAGAAUGAAUUUGAGGAACAGAUAUGCAAGGAGUUUUUUCUUAAACUGAC